GAGAAACCAGGCCGGAGGACAUUCAACCUGCAGGACGAGAAACCGGGGAGAAACUACAAACUACAGCAUUAGAAAUAAACUACAGCCAUAGCAACUACAAACUACAGCGGUUAGAAAUAAACUACAGCAAUAGCAACUACAAACUACAGCAGUUAGAAAUAAACUACAGCAAUAGCAACUACAAACUACAGCAGUUAGAAGUAAACUACAGCAAUAGACACAACAAACUACAGCAGUUAGAAAUAAACUACAGCAAUAGAAACAACAAACUACAGCUAUAUAAAUAAACUACAGCACUAGAAACUACAAACUACAGCUAUAUAAAUAAACUACAGCCAUAUAAACAACAAACUACAUCAGUUAGAAAUAAACUACAGCCAUAGAAACAACAAACUACAGCUAUAGAAAUAAGAAACUACAGCUAUAUAAAUAAACUACAGCAAUAGAAACUACAAACUACAGCUAUAUAAAUAAACUACAGCCAUAGCAACCACAAACUACAGCUAUAGAAAUAAGAAACUACAGCUAUAUAAAUAAACUACAGCAAUAGAAACUACAAACUACAGCUAUAGAAAUAAGAAACUACAGCUAUAUAAAUAAACUACAGCCAUAGAAACAACAAACUACAACAGUUAGAAAUAAACUACAGCCAUAGAAACAACAAACUACAGCUAUAUAAAUAAGAAACUACAGCUAUAUAAAUAAACUACAGUCAUAGCAACUACAAACUACAGCAGUUAGAAAUAAACUACUGCCAUAGAAACAACAAACUACAGCAGUUAGAAAUAAACUACAGCCAUAGAAACUACAAACUACAGCAGUUAGAAAUAAACUACUGCCAUAUAAAUAACAAACUACAGCAGUUAGAAAUAAACUACAGCCAUAGAAACUACAAACUACAGCAGUUAGAAAUAAACUACAGCCAUAGAAAC